GCCUAAAGCGUCCGUAGCCGGCUUUGUAAGUUUUCGGUUAAAUCUAUAUGCUCAACAUAUAGGCUGCCGGGAAUACUGCAAAGCUAGGGAGUGGGAGAGGUAGACGGUACUCCGUAGGAAGGGGUAAAAUCCUUUGAUCUAUGGAUGACCACCUGUGGCGAAGGCGGUCUACCAGAACACGUUCGACGGUGAGGGAUGAAAGCUGGGGGAGCAAACCGGAUUAGAUACCCGGGUAGUCCCAGCUGUAAACUAUGCAAACUCAGUGAUGCAUUGGCUUGUGGCCAGUGCAGUGCCGCAGGGAAGCCGUUAAGUUUGCCGCCUGGGAAGUACGUACGCAAGUAUGAAACUUAAAGGAAUUGGCGGGGGAGCACCACAAGGGGUGAAGCCUGCGGUUCAAUUGGAGUCAACGCCAGAAAUCUUACCCGGAGAGACAGCAGGAUGAAGGUCAAGCUGAAGACUUUACCAGACAAGCUGAGAAGUGGUGCAUGGCCGUCGCCAGCUCGUGCCGUGAGGUGUCCUGUUAAGUCAGGUAACGAGCGAGAUCCUUGCCUCUAGUUGCUACCAUUACUCUCAGGAGUAGUGGAGCGAAUUAGCGGGACUGCCGUAGUUAAUACGGAGGAAGGAGAGGGCCACGGCAGGUCAGUAUGCCCCGAA
rnacentral:rRNA from 1 species